AUUCUCUCUCUUCGUCUUCGUCGUCUCUUCGUCUUCGUUCUCUGUUUUUCUUUUUGUUCUGAGAAAUUGAUGGGGACAACAAAUCGGGUGGGGAUUGUUUUCGGUGGUGUCGAUGGAACGUGGUUGCUAUCAAGGAGAUCGCCAUGGAGAUCGCCAUGUCGGGGAUUUUCAUCUCGAGGAAGAUCAAUCACCCCAACAUCAUCCGCUUCAUCGACAUGAUCGAGCUGGAAACAUCACCAUAAAAUGGGAUAUCGUUAGCUGGACUGCUGAUGGCUAUGUGGCUGUUGUAUCAAUCUUCAAUUUUCAACAAUACCGUCACAUUCAAGCCCCGAGUUGGCAACUAGGAUGGAGUUGGUAUAAAAAGGAAGUGAUAUGGAGUAUGGUUGGUGCACAAGCCACAGAGCAAGGAGAUUGUUCUAAGUUCAAAGGCAACAUUCAUCAUUGCUGCAAGAAAACCCCCACCGUCGUUGACUUGUUACCGGGAACUCCAUACAACCAACAGAUGUUAAACAGUUGUCGAGGCGGUGUGAUUAGCUCCUGGGCACAAAACCCCACAACAGCCGUGGGAAGAACAACCUCCAGCCGCUCUUGCAAUGUACACAGCAUAUGUGUCCCAUCAGAGUUCAUUGGCAUGUGAAAACUAACUACAAAUAGUACUGGCGUGUGAAGGUCACAAUCACAAACUUCAACUACAAUAUGAAUUACUCGCAGUGGAAUUUGGUUGUUCAGCAUCCCAACUUCGACAAUAUCACUCAACUUUUCAGCUUUACACUCCCACAACGUUAGAUUCAGAUCUUGUACGCUUUGAGCUUGUCAUUAAGGUAUAUAUGCUCAAAAACACUUCUCACCCUGACCUGGAUUUUGAUUCUAGUGUUCUAGUGUUUGUCUAGUUUUUGUGUCAAAUUCUAUUGGAAGUUUUACUUUGUUUCUUUCAUGUUUGUUUAAAAAAUUUAAUUAUAAAUUUGUAUUUGUAUUUUUAAUAUGUUUCUAUGUCAUAUUUGUUUAAAUUUUAUGAAAUCCAAUAAUUUAUAAGUUUUGUUAAAUUUAAAUUUAAUAAUUCAAAAAGGUUCUUCCAUUAGACAAUUAAAAAUUUAAUUAAACCAAUAAGGGUUUUAAACUUUUCAAAUCACAAAAUUAAUUACUAAUUUAUUCAUUAGACCCACAAGGGUCUCUGACCAAUGUACUUGCUCUGAGUCUCACCAAUCUUCUUCUCUUUCUUUCCCACGCCAUGUUUCUUUGAUUUUAAUCUUAUCAUUGUUUUUCAAUCUUAUUUGAUUCAAUUCGCUUCCUCACGUUCUCAGUUUCGAUCUCUAACCACCGUUGAUUGAAGCUUCACAACCACACUCCUUUUGACACCGCGUCACCACCACCACCACCACCACCAUCGCUCCCAUCUGCCAUCGCUUCUCAGAUCCGUCUUCACCAGAGUCGCCACCACCACCGUCACGCUCGUCAUAAUCACCACUCAGCUCUCUGUCUCUCACUUUCUGUUUCUUAUUCUCUCUGCAUUGAGAAAGAAGCGCGAGGCACUCACCAGUGGCAGUUCUUUUACCAAAUCUAAAAGCUUUGCUUCAGGACAUUGACAGAAGCCGAGGAGCCAGAAGAUAUCUUUCAGGUCGAUGGUGAAGUCAGUAAACUCAGGUAGAUUAUGUAAAGUUGUGUGAAGUCGGACAUUAUCUCGUUGGAGUAUGAAAAGGUGAAGUUUCAUGGAGAGCUUGAUACUGGAAGAAGACAGAGGCUACGUCCUUUGGUGCUCCUGGAAACCGUGUUGCUGAAUUGGUAUUUAACACCUCCUUGACAGGUUAGCUGUGGGGACAUUAGAUGGAGUUGGAGUCGAGCAAGAUAGAAGAGAGGAGAUGGAGUUGGUUCAGAAGCGAGGGAAGAGAGAUACAUAAGAAGUUUGAUGGCGCUGGAAGAGUAGAGACGUUAGGAAUGAUUGCGAAGGGUUAUUAGUAGUAGAUUGAUAGUAUUUUUGAUAGAUUUUGAUGGUUUGUGUAAACAAGAAAAUGUUUUAUGGUUUUGUAAAUAUUUAAAUAUUUUUUAGUGUUUA